GAUGAACGCUGGCGGCGUGCCUAAUACAUGCAAGUCGAGCGAACAGACGAGGAGCUUGCUCCUCUGACGUUAGCGGCGGACGGGUGAGUAACACGUGGAUAACCUACCUAUAAGACUGGGAUAACUUCGGGAAACCGGAGCUAAUACCGGAUAAUAUAUUGAACCGCAUGGUGCAAUGGUGAAAGACGGUUUUGGUGUCACGUCUAGAUGGAUCCGCGCCGCAUUAGCUAGUUGGUAAGGUAACGGCUUACCAAGGCUACGAUGCGUAGACGACGUGAGAGGCGGAUCGGCGGCACGAGAGCGGAGACACGGUCAAGACGCCUGAGAGAGGCAGCAGAAGGGAAUCGUCCGCAGUGGGCGAGAGCAUGACGGAGCAGCGGGGAGUGAGUGAUGAAGGUCUCCGGAUCGUAAAGCUCUGUUAUGAGGGAAGAACAAAUGUGUAAGUAACUAUGCACGGCUUGACGGUACCGAGUCAGAAAGCCACGGCUAACUACGUG
rnacentral:rRNA from 1 species